CCUACGGGUGGCAGCAGUAGGGAAUUUUCGGCAAUGGGCGAAAGCCUGACCGAGCAACGCCGCGUGAACGAAGAAGGUCUUCGGAUUGUAAAGUUCUGUUAUAGAGGAAGAAUGGUGUACGAAGGAAAUGGCGUACACAUGACGGUACUCUUUGAGGAAGCCACGGCUAACUACGUGCCAGCAUGCGCGGUAAUAAGUAGGUGGCGAGCGUUAUCCGGAGUCAUUGGGCGGAAAGAGGGAGCAGGUGGCCUGGCAGGUCUGUUGUGAAAAGGCCAUGGCUUAACCGUUGUAAGGCGAAGAGACCGUCCGGCUAGAGUUCUAAUGAGGUACGUGGAAUUCCAUGUGUAGCGGUGAAAUGCGUAGAUAUAUGGAGGAACACCAGUGGCGAAGGCGACGAUCUGGGAAGAAACAGACGCUGAGUCCCGAAAGCGUGGGGAGCAAAUAGGAUUAGAUACCCGAGUAGUC
rnacentral:rRNA from 1 species